GGCGGACGGGUGAGUAAUAUAUAGUUAACCUGCCCUCGAGAAAGGAAUAACAGUUGGAAACGACUGCUAAUGCCCUAUAUGCCUUUAAGACAUAAGUCUGCAAGGGAAAUGCUUUUGUGCUCGAGGAUGGGACUGUACGGUAUCAGAUAGUUGGUGGGGUAAUGGCCUACCAAGUCAAUGACGCCUAACUGGUUUGAGAGGAUGAUCAGUCACACUGGAACUGAGACACGGUCCAGACUCCUACGGGAGGCAGCAGUGGGGAAUAUUGCACAAUGGAGGAAACUCUGAUGCAGCAACGCCGCGUGGAGGAUGACACAUUUCGGUGCGUAAACUCCUUUUAUAUAGGAAGAUAAUGACGGUACUAUAUGAAUAAGCGCCGGCUAACUCCGUGCCAGCAGCCGCGGUAAUACGGAUGGCGCAAGCGUUACUCGGAAUCACUGGGCGUAAAGAGCGUGUAGGCGGAUAGAUAAGUCAGAAGUGAAAUCCUAUGGCUCAACCAUAGAACUGCUUUUGAAACUGUUUAUCUAGAGUGUGGGAGAGGUAGAUGGAAUUUCUGGUGUAGGGGUAAAAUCCGUAGAGAUCAGAAGGAAUACCGAUUGCGAAGGCGAUCUACUGGAACAUAACUGACGCUGAGACGCGAAAGCGUGGGGAGCAAACAGGAUUAGAUACCCUGGUAGUCCACGCCCUAAACGAUGUUCACUAGUUGUUGUGAGGCUUGACCUUGCAGUAAUGCAGUUAACACAUUAAGU
rnacentral:rRNA from 1 species